rnacentral:ncRNA from 1 species
CGUCGUUCUCAGGGCGGGGUGAAAUUCCCCACCGGCGGUAAACAAUGCGAAUUGUGAGCCCGCGAGCGCCUCGAUUAGACGGUUGAGGGACAAGCAGAUCAGGUGAAAUUCCUGAGCCGACGGUUAAAGUCCGGAUGGAAGAGAACAGGU